rnacentral:rRNA from 1 species
CCUACGGGAGGCAGCAGUGGGGAAUCUUGUGCAAUGGACGAAAGUCUGACACAGCCACGCCGCGUGCGGGAAGAAGGCCUUCGGGUUGUAAACCGCUUUCAGCAGGAACGAAAAUGACGGUACCUGCAGAAGAAGAUGCGGCCAACUACGUGCCAGCAGCCGCGGUGAUACGUAGGCAUCAAGCGUUGUCCGGAUUUAUUGGGCGUAAAGAGCUCGUAGGCGGUUCAGCAAGUCGGGUGUGAAAACUCUGGGCUUAACCCAGAGCCUGCACUCGAAACUGCUGUGACUAGAGUUCGGUAGGGGAGCAGGGAAUUCCUAGUGUAGCGGUGAAAUGCGCAGAUAUUAGGAGGAACACCAAUGGCGAAGGCACUGCUCUGGGCCGAUACUGACGCUGAGGAGCGAGAGCGUGGGUAGCAAACAGGAUUAGAUACCCUGGUAGUCCCACGACCGUAACGAGUGGCGACUAGGUGGUGGUCGUCUAACCAACGAGAUCUGCGCCGUCGCUACGCAUAGUGCCCGCCGCGGGAGGUACGGUCGGUCGAGAACGUUAAACGUACGAAAGUUAAGUAGUUAGGCGNGNGAGAGCGACGACGACGACGACGGAGGAGGAG